rnacentral:rRNA from 1 species
UACGUAGGGCGCAAGCGUUGUCCGGAAUUAUUGGGCGUAAAGAGCUCGUAGGCGGUCUGUCACGUCGGACGUGAAAAUCCAGGGCUCAACCCUGGACCUGCGUUCGAUACGGGCAGACUAGAGUUCGGUAGGGGAGACUGGAAUUCCUGGUGUAGCGGUGAAAUGCGCAGAUAUCAGGAGGAACACCAAUUGCGAAGGCAGCUCGCUGGGACGUUACUGACGCUGAGACGCGAAAGCGUGGGGAGCAAACAGG